GCUGACUCUGAGAAGUUGAUUUAUUUACUCAGUGAUGAGAAGGGGGAAAGCAAAGAAGUUUGAUACAGUAAUCGGAUGGAUUCUAAGAGAAAUAAGCCUUUAUUUUGAAGCACAAGGAGCAAUAAGAGGAUGACUGAUCUGUUUCACUCAUGAUUGCUUCCAGCCACAUCAAGCACAAACCUAUACCUCACAUCAUUCCUUUCCAUUCUUUUGAAUGCCUCAUUCACAUAAUCUAUCUUUACUAUCUCAAUCAUUGAUGUCAAACCCUUUUCUGCCCAAAAUUCUAGAAUUUCCUGUGUAUCUUCAAUGCUUCCAACGAAGCUCCCGCAUAUGUUUCUCUUCCCUGUAAUUAAAUCGCUAGCAAUAAACUGUAGUGGUGUUGGAGCAGCCCCAACUAUUAUAACUUUUCCAUCAACUUUAAGAAGUGAUAGAUAGGAGUCCAAAGGAUGCCCAGCAGGUACAGUGUCAAGAAUGUAAUCAAGACUGUUUGCAGCCUUCUCCAUCUCAUCUGCAUUGGAGCUGACCAAGAAAGCAUCAGCACCUAAAUGCUCCAAAGCUUCCUCUCUUUUCUUGCCUGAAGAGCUUAUCACAGUCACAUGAUGCCCCAUUGCCUUUGCAAUAAUCACACCUAAGUGACCAACUCCACCUAAACCCAAAAUGCCUGCUUUAAGGGCCUUACUAGAUACAUAGAACUGUUUUAAGGGACUAUAAGCUGUCACCCCAGCACACAAUAGUGGGGCUGCUUGCUCUGGUGCAAGCUUGUCUGGAAUCCUAACCACAAACCUCUGAUUGACAACCAUUGCAGAAGAGAAGCCUCCCUGAGUAAUUCUCCCAUCUUUGUCUAUAGCAUUAUAAGUUAGGAUCCUUUCAUGGCAAUACUGCUCCAUCUUGGACUUGCAGGACAAGCAUUCCCCACAAGACCAAAUUAUGCACCCAACUCCUACUAUGUCUCCAACUUUGAAUUUCUUUACUUCCUUGCCUAAUUCUACAACUUCUCCCACAACUUCAUGCCCUGGGACUAAAGGGUAGUUGGGGGAGUGAAUCUCGCCCCUAACCACAUGAAGAUCAGUGUGGUCUACUCCACUAUACAAAACCUUGAACACCACAUCUUCUUCACCUGUUUUCCUGAGAUUGAAAGAAUGAGGUGAAAGAUGUCCAGAUGAAUCUCUGGCCGCCCAACCAAUGACCUUUCUUCCCUCCGCCAUUUUCAAACAAGUAGAGAGUUAUAACUGGCAAGAAAGAAGGUAGUAGGGAAGAUAGAUAUAAGAUUUCUAUAAGGACCCGGGAUGAAGUUAUGGAUGCUUCU
rnacentral:misc_RNA from 1 species